rnacentral:rRNA from 1 species
GAUGAACGCUAGCGGCAGGCUUAAUACAUGCAAGUCGAGGGGCAUCAAGGUACACGAAAGUGUAUUGUUGGCGACCGGCGGACGGGUGAGUAAUAGGUAGGUAACCUACCUCAUACUGAGGCAUAGCUGGGAGAAAUUCCAGGUAAUUCCUCAUGAGGUUAUAUGACACAUGUGAUAUAAUCAAAGGUAUCGCAAGGUACUGGUAUGAGAUGGGCUUACUGACCAUUAGCUAGUUGGUGAGAUAAGAGCUCACCAAGGCGAAGAUGGUUAGGGUUUGAGAGAGAGAUCCCCCACAUUGGAACUGAGAUACGGUCCAGACUCCUACGGGAGCAGCAGUAGGGAAUAUUGGGCAAUGGGCGGAAGCCUGACCCAGCCAUGCCGCGUGAAGGAAGACGGCCUUAAUGGGUUGUAAACUUCUUUACUAUGCGACUAACUAGAUUUACGAGAUAAUUCUAUAGAAUGUAGCAUAGCAAAAAGCACCGGA